CCCAGGGGCUCUCAACCUUUUAGCGGUGUUCUGAGUGCACUGCCUGCUUUUCCAGAGGUCUGGGAAACGGAGCAGAGAGGCCCGGAGCUCCGGCCUCGGGUGGCUGGCCAUGCUCAGCCAGGCACCGUGUUGGAAGGAGCUGUCCGUUUCCAGGCAUCUCUUGAAAAGCAUCCUUCCUCACCUCCACCGCUGCCUCACAAAGGGCAAAGUGUGCCCUGAGAUCCCAGGCUCAGUACUGGGUUGCCUAGUGUCAUUUCCUGCAUCGUUUCUGCGGUUCUGUCCGUGUGCUUUGCCAGCUAGAACAAAACAGCGCUGCUAUGGAAACUGCAAACACCAGGCAAUCCUGGCCCCUGCACUUGGCAGCCCAGCCGGGAGAGAGAUAAUGGCUUUUGUUGUUAUCUAUUGGAUGCUGAUGCUCAGUCGCUUGUACCCUCAGGCCCUAACUAGGGACACGCUGACACUGCACCAUCAGUGCUCGGUUGUAAACUUCCCCAGCCUCGUGAUGCAGGCUGGAGAUAACAGUGCAGCCAGGCCUGCUCAUUAUCCUGAUGACAACCGGGGGGCUUUGUACUUUCCGGACAACUUCUGUGGUCUCUUCACUCCCAGGGGGCCUAGAGCUCUCACAGGUGGUCAAAGUCGGCCCGCGGGAGCUGCAGGACUGAAACCAAGAAUGUCGUCAUUAAUUCAAAGGUGAGAAGUUAAACAGUGGUCUCAGUGCCCACACUUGUUCGGGAGUCAGAAGGAGGAAAAGGGAAAGGAAGGGAAGAACGCUGGAACAUUUUAGUGGGUAGCAGCAGGGAGAGGCGAGACGUCUAUGCCAAGAUUUAUACUGCAUGCUACAUUUUAUUUAUUUAGGGGGACAUGGGUAUCUGUUUUUUUUCCCUCUACAGUAAUUUAUCAGUGAGCGCAUCCUGAUUUAGUAGUGCACAGAGGACCCCCACUGCUAAUUCUCCUUUAUUUCAUAUCUUUCUUUUACCUUAACUCAUGAAGUUCAGCAUUGCUACUUUCUUUAUCAUCCAUCCCAACCCUUUUUGAUCUAUAGCGCAAGCCCUCCUUUCCCCGCCUCUUUGUCCUUUCUUCACAGAUUGCAUUCCUCAGUAUUGACAUUUCAGUCAUUUGAUUUAUCUCAACAGGUUCCCCGAUGCCAACCAGAUCAUAAUUCCCUUUCUGGCAGCAUCACUUCAAGACCUUCCUGGUUAUUUCCCUUGGCUCCUAGUAUUUGUGGAUCAGCACCUACGAGACUUACUGAUGAUUUGUCUCCUCUUUUAGGUUUCUGUUUGCUUAGAUCCAAACCACAGGUGGUAACUUAGGAGGCCCAAAGAUAUCUGGAAUUGUGUGAAAUGUGAGCUUUGUUCUGCUUGGUAGGGAGUGCUGGAAUGUUCUAUCACGGGCAUCUUCACAGAAGGGCCAUUUCUGGAAUUGGUUAAAACAGAAGGAUCUGCCCAUAAGCAUUCUGUUAGCCAUUUGUAAACCAAAUACCAUCUAUCUAAUUUUCCUGAGAGCUUCGAGUUGGGGAGAGUUGGGUUAUCAGUUUUCAAAGUGGGUUAUCUUUUUUUUUUUAACGUUUAUUUAUUUUUGAGACAGAGAGACACAGAGCAUGAACGGGGGAGGGGCAGAGAGAGAGGGAGACACAGAAUCGGAAGCAGGCUCCAGGCUCUGGCUCUGAGCCAUCAGCCCAGAGCCCCACGCGGAGCUGGAACUCACGGACCGCGAGAUCGUGACCUGAGCUGAAGUCGGACGCUUAACCGACUGAGCCACCCAGGCGCCCCAAAAGUGGGUUAUCUUUUUAAAAGAGGAACACACCUGUAAGAAACUCAUACUAAUUUUGGUUAGAGGGGAGUACGAUACUCCUUUUCUUGUGCCAUUUAUUUUUUAUCGGUAUUUGUGUGGUCUGAGACACAUGCCACACACGCACGCGCACGCACGCACACACGAGAGAAACAUGACAGAGAAAAAAAUUUUCCUUUUGUGAAUUCUCAUGAUGUGACUUUAAAAUACUGCAUGCUGCAUUAUCACGAGACCUUCAGUUGUCCUGAUUUGCAUUAGUGAAAUCUAUUUCUCAUGUCAGACAAGAGAAAGCUGCCUGCAUUUUUCUUCCUGGUCCUUCUAGCUUUCUUUACACAGUUUCUUUGAUUUCUGUGAUAGAGGGAGGUUUCUUGGCUUGUGUAUGAUAUAUUAGAAAUUAAGAAAAGUAGCUUUGUCCUUAAAUUGAGUAUAAUCUAAAAUUUACCCAUUAUUUAAAAUUAUAAUGCCAUAAAGUACACUCAUAAUUCUCCGUUUCAUUGCUUUACUCUGUAAGGCAUGUGGGGUGGGUCUUUCAGGACUUCUCUGGUUGGGGUUCGUAAAGUUGAUGCUCGCUUAUCACAUGAUGGUAGAUAAAAGACUUUCUGACUGUGGGUAGGAAUGACUCUCAAAAAUUCCCUUCCCCAUCCUGUCAGUCCUAAGGAUGCCUGACAAUGCAGCACUGUGGUGUGCACUUUCCCACUGUUCCCUCGUCUGUGAAAUAAAGGAGUUCAAUACGUCUCCCCGUCCUCA
ensembl:lncRNA